GUCCUUUUGGUCCUCACAUCCAGUCCCUGCAUUCUGAUUACAUCAUCAUGCAAACGUGUGAUGCUCAGACCAGCUCGAUGAAUGUCAGGUAAGAAGAAUGAGCAGGAAAUGGAAAAGGUACUGCUCUUCACUGUGACAAGGAGUCUUCCACAAUGAGGAAGGAACCAGGAAAAAUGUGCAGCAG
rnacentral:lncRNA from 1 species